ACUCCUACGGGAGGCAGCAGUGGGGAAUAUUGCACAAUGGGCGCAAGCCUGAUGCAGCCAUGCCGCGUGUAUGAAGAAGGCCUUCGGGUUGUAAAGUACUUUCAGCGGGGAGGAAGGCGAUAAGGUUAAUAACCUUGUUGAUUGACGUUACCCGCAGAAGAAGCACCGGCUAACUCCGUGCCAGCAGCCGCGGUAAUACGGAGGGUGCAAGCGUUAAUCGGAAUUACUGGGCGUAAAGCGCACGCAGGCGGUCUGUCAAGUCGGAUGUGAAAUCCCCGGGCUCAACCUGGGAACUGCAUUCGAAACUGGCAGGCUAGAGUCUUGUAGAGGGGGGUAGAAUUCCAGGUGUAGCGGUGAAAUGCGUAGAGAUCUGGAGGAAUACCGGUGGCGAAGGCGGCCCCCUGGACAAAGACUGACGCUCAGGUGCGAAAGCGUGGGGAGCAAACAGGAUUAGAUACCCCAGUAGUCCCAU
rnacentral:rRNA from 1 species